rnacentral:tRNA from 1 species
GGGUGAUUAGCUCAGAUGGUUAGAGCGUUUGCUUGACAUGUAAGAGGUCACUGGUUCGAGGCCAGUAUCACCCACUA